rnacentral:rRNA from 1 species
GUGCCAGCCGCCGCGGUAAUACGGAGGGUGCAAGCGUUAAUCGGAAUUACUGGGCGUAAAGCGUACGUAGGCGGCUUGUUAAGCAAGAUGUGAAAGCCCCGGGCUCAACCUGGGAAUGGCAUUUUGAACUGGCAGGCUCGAGUUCUGAAGAGGGUGGUAGAAUUUCCAGUGUAGCGGUGAAAUGCGUAGAUAUUGGAAGGAAUACCAGUGGCGAAGGCGGCCACCUGGUCAGAAACUGACGCUGAGGUACGAAAGCGUGGGGAGCAAACAGGAUUAGAAACCCUGGUAGUCC